rnacentral:rRNA from 1 species
UACGAAGGGGGGCUAGCGUUGUUCGGAAUCACUGGGCGUAAAGCGCACGUAGGCGGACUUUCAAGUCAGGGGUGAAAUCCCGGGGCUCAACCUCGGAAUUGCCUUUGAUACUGUAGGUCUCGAGUCCGGAAGAGGUGGGUGGAAUUCCUAGUGUAGAGGUGAAAUUCGUAGAUAUUAGGAAGAACACGGUGGCGAAGGCGGCCCAACUGGUCCGGUACUGACGCUGAGGUGCGAAAGCGUGGGGAGCAAACAGG